GACAAAAACCAGUCGUUCAAUGUGUCCUAUACUUGGGAAACUGACGAAAUAAGUGGCUUAAGGUUUAUAAAUGUCCUUAACAAAAAAGAUAAAAAGAAAUUGGGAUUCCAAUGCAUUUAUUGUAGAGAUAAACAACUUUUUAAAAAGAAAAGCAGUGUGUUAUAUCACAUGGUUACAUUUAACCAUGGUUUAAAAUCAAGCAUCGUUGAAGAAUUAAAACUUAUAGACAAAGAUAAAGACAACCGACUAAAUUUUAUUAAUAAUUUCAAUAUACAAAAAUGUGCAGAAAGAGAAAGGGGUAACGAAAACGAAAAAGAAGUUAAGAAAGAAUAUUUGAGUGAUGAUAAUUUAAUUAAGCUUGAAAUAGAAUUUGUUUCUACUUUAAAUCUAUUAACUCUUGAUGAAUUAAAAACGCUACAUUUUUUUUUUUUUCCUGAAAAUUUAUUGUUAAUUAAUGAGCAUGUGAAUAAAGAAAGUAUAAUUGAAAGUUUUAUAUUAAGUAUAAAUUUAAUUUCAAAUAAAUAUUCCCAAACGAUUAAAAAUGCAUACAGUGAGCACACUUUUAAACAGAAUGCCAAGCUAAUUACAUUAGAUGAAUACUUGAAUGAGUUAAAAGGGUCAGUAGAAGUAGAAAUUAAUUUAGAACCCGUAGAAAACGAAGAAAAUGAAAUGAUAACUACUAUUAACAUAACAGAUAAAGAAAAUCAGAAUAGUAAUGAAAAUGAUGGUGCAAAUAAUGGAGUUAAUAAUACAAACUCUGCAACAAAUUAUGCAAGCAUAGUUAUAAACGAAAAUGAAGAAAAAAAUAAAAUUGAGGUAUUGAAAAAUAUAAGAGGUGCUAUAGAACAAAGUGAACAGGGGGAAGUAAAACAAAACGCUAAUAAUACCAAUAAUAACAAUAAUACCAAUAAUAAUAAUAAUAAUAAUAACAAUAAUAAUAAUAAUAAUAACAAUAAUAAUAAUAAUAAUAAUAACAAUAAUAACAAUAAUAAUAAUAACAAUAAUAAUAACAAUAAUAACAAUAAUAAUAAUAAUAAUAAUAAUAAUAAUAAUAACAAUAAUAAUAAUAAUAACAAUAAUAAUAAUGAUACUGCUAGUGAAAAACAGGUAAACCAAUUAAAUCAAACAUGUGGGACUGAGCAAGGAACACCAAGUGUUACAACAAAUGUAAACACCAGCACAAAUACCACAAUCACUAACGCAAACAUCAACACAAACACAACCAGCAUAAACACUAAUGUGACAACUGCAGAAACAACAUACCCACUAAACCAUACAAUGAUAAAUUUAAAAGAUUGCCACCAUACUAACCACAGUGAUGAUUUAUUCAUAAGUUUGACUGAAUCUAGGCAAACAAACGAAGACAAACAAAAUAGAGAAAGAGAAAGAGAAAAAGAAUAUAAUAUAUAUAAUAAUCCCGUGAAUAAUAACCCUAUAAAUAAUACCCAUAUGAAUGACAAUCUUAUAAAUAUUAAAAAAUCAAAUAAUGUUGAUGCGAACAUAAACACAAGUAAUCCCAAUACAGUGGAUGUAAAUAAGAAUAAUAAUCAAAAUGAUAUGUAUUAUGAUAUGAGUAAAGAAAAAUUAAUACACAUUUUAUUAAGUAUGAAUAAAAAGCGUAGAAAAUAUGUUAGAAGAACAGACAAUAAUAAUAAACAAAAUAUUUCUAAUGUUAAAAGAGCAAGAACAAAUGAUAAGGAAAAUAUGCUAACAAUCCCAGACUUAAAUGAUAAUGCUAAAGGAAUGGAUUGUUUAACAAAAGAAACAGCUAAUGUAAUAAGUGUACCUUGUACAGACGUAAAUGUAGCUAGUUCAUGUACAAAAUUAUCUAAUGUAUGCAUAACCGAUAAUAGUAUAACAGAAAAAAUUAAUUCAAUAACAGGAGCUGAUGUGACAGAGCAAUUUAUAAUUGACCAAGACAUUAAAAAAGUAAACACACUAACAAACGAAAUAGAAUUAAUUAAAACUAAUUUAAAUGGAGGAAAUAAUGAAAUAAUUUUAAAUAAAGGUGUUCAGGAAUGUGAUAAUAAAAAUUGUAACGUAGAAGGUUGCGUUAUUAACAUGAACACUAAUUUAAAAGAGGUUCACAUAAAUAGCAAUCACAUGGGUGACAACACUAAUGAUAACAACAGCAACAACAGCAACAAUAGCAACAGUGGCAAUAGUAGCAACAGUGGCAAUAGUAUCAACAGUGGCAAUAGUAGCAACAGUAGCAACAGUAGCAACAGUGGCAACAGUGGCAACAGUGGCAACAGUGGCAACAGUGGCNNNNNNNNNNUGGCAAUAGUAUCAACAGUGGCAAUAGUAGCAACAGUGGCAAUAGUAGCAACAGUGGCAACAGUGGUAACAGUAACAACAUUAACAACAUUAGCAAGAACAAUAUUAUGCAGGAAAAUGAAAAUGGUUAUACUAAUAAUAUAUUAAUAUGUAGAAACCAUAAUGAAAGAGAUAAUGAUAAGCAGAGUGAAGUGGUAAUAAAUAUUUGUAGCGUAAGUAAACCUAAAAAAAA
ensembl:lncRNA